rnacentral:rRNA from 1 species
UACGAAGGGGGCUAGCGUUACUCGGAUUGACUGGGCGUAAAGGGCGCGUAGGCGGAUGGUACAGUCAGACGUGAAAUUCCUGGGCUCAACCUCGCGCCUGCAGUGGGUACGGGCAGACUAGAGUGCGGUAGGGGAGAUUGGAAUUCCUGGUGUAGCGGUGGAAUGCGUAGAUAUCGGAAGGAACACCAGUGGCGAAAGCGGACUUCCUGGUCCAGCACCGACGUCAG